GUACACACCGCCCGUCGCUCC
rnacentral:siRNA from 1 species